ACCAGACUCCUACGGGAGGCAGCAGUGGGGAAUAUUGCGCAAUGGGGGAAACCCUGAUGCAGCGACGCCGCGUGAAGGAAGAAGUAUUUCGGUAUGUAAACUUCUAUCAGCAGGGAAGAAAAUGACGGUACCUGACUAAGAAGCCCCGGCUAACUACGUGCCAGCAGCCGCGGUAAUACGUAGGGGGCAAGCGUUAUCCGGAAUUACUGGGUGUAAAGGGAGCGUAGGCGGGGAUGCAAGUUGGGUGUCAAAACUACCGGCUCAACCGAUAGUCGCACUCAAAACUGCAGCUCUUGAGUGGAGUAGAGGCAGGCGGAAUUCCUAGUGUAGCGGUGAAAUGCGUAGAUAUCAGGAGGAACACCGGUGGCGAAGGCGGCCUGCUGGACUGCGACUGACGUUGAGGCCCGAAAGCGUGGGGAGCAAACAGGAUUAGAUACCCCCGUAGA
rnacentral:rRNA from 1 species